AUGAACUGGAGCCCUCUCUUCCUCACUCUCCUUGCUCACUGCACAGGCCCUGCAGCCUCCUAUGAGCUGACUCAGGCACCUUCAGCGUCAGUGCGCCUGGGAGAGACAGUCCACAUCACCUGUGGAGGAAACAACAUUGAAAAGAAAAGUGUCCACUGGUACCAGCAGAGACCAGAAGAGGCCCCUACAACGGUCAUAUACAAUGAUAACCAGCGGCCUUCAGGGAUCCCUGACCGGUUCUCUGGGGCUAACUCGGGGAACACAGCCACCCUGACCAUCAGCAGUACCCAGACUGGGGAUGAGGGUGACUAUUAUUGUCAUGUUUGGGACAGUGGUGCUGCUCACAGUGACACAGGCAGAUGGAGAAUCUUUGUCUUCCUGUUACGUGGGAACAUCUCUCCACCUCUAAGCUUCAGUACAUCCCAGAGUCAAUGA